rnacentral:tRNA from 1 species
GCCACGGUGGUCUAGCUAUUAGAACGCUGGCCUUGUAAUCCUGGGGUCUCGGGUUCGAUUCCCGGCGGUGCCC